rnacentral:rRNA from 1 species
GGGACACGUGGUAUCCUGUCUGAAUAUGGGGGGACCAUCCUCCAAGGCUAAAUACUCCUGACUGACCGAUAGUGAACCAGUACCGUGAGGGAAAGGCGAAAAGAACCCCGGCGAGGGGAGUGAAAAAGAACCUGAAACCGUGUACGUACAAGCAGUGGGAGCACGCUUAGGCGUGUGACUGCGUACCUUUUGUAUAAUGGGUCAGCGACUUAUAUUCUGUAGCAAGGUUAACCGAAUAGGGGAGCCGAAGGGAAACCGAGUCUUAACUGGGCGUUAAGUUGCAGGGUAUAGACCCGAAACCCGGUGAUCUAGCCAUGGGCAGGUUGAAGGUUGGGUAACACUAACUGGAGGACCGAACCGACUAAUGUUGAAAAAUUAGCGGAUGACUUGUGGCUGGGGGUGAAAGGCCAAUCAAACCGGGAGAUAGCUGGUUCUCCCCGAAAGCUAUUUAGGUAGCGCCUCGUGAAUUCAUCUCCGGGGGUAGAGCACUGUUUCGGCAAGGGGGUCAUCCCGACUUACCAACCCGAUGCAAACUGCGAAUACCGGAGAAUGUUAUCACGGGAGACACACGGCGGGUGCUAACGUCCGUCGUGAAGAGGGAAACAACCCAGACCGCCAGCUAAGGUCCCAAAGUCAUGGUUAAGUGGGAAACGAUGUGGGAAGGCCCAGACAGCCAGGAUGUUGGCUUAGAAGCAGCCAUCAUUUAAAGAAAGCGUAAUAGCUCACUGGUCGAGUCGGCCUGCGCGGAAGAUGUAACGGGGCUAAACCAUGCACCGAAGCUGCGGCAGCGACGCUGAUGCGUUGUUGGGUAGGGGAGCGUUCUGUAAGCCUGC